rnacentral:rRNA from 1 species
CCUACGGGGGGCUGCAGUGGGGAAUAUUGGACAAUGGGGGCAACCCUGAUCCAGCCAUGCCGCGUGUGUGAAGAAGGCCCUCGGGUUGUAAAGCACUUUCAGUGAGGAAGAACGCCUGGUGGUUAAUACCCAUCAGGAAAGACAUCACUCACAGAAGAAGCACCGGCUAACUCCGUGCCAGCAGCCGCGGUAAUACGGAGGGUGCGAGCGUUAAUCGGAAUUACUGGGCGUAAAGCGCGCGUAGGUGGCUUGAUAAGCCGGUUGUGAAAGCCCCGGGCUCAACCUGGGAACGGCUUCCGGAACUGUCAAGCUAGAGUGCAGGAGAGGAAGGUAGAAUUCCCGGUGUAGCGGUGAAAUGCGUAGAGAUCGGGAGGAAUACCAGUGGCGAAGGCGGCCUUCUGGACUGACACUGACACUGAGGUGCGAAAGCGUGGGUAGCAAACAGGAUUAGAUACCCCUGUAGUC